GAAGAACGCUGGCGGCGUGCCUAAUACAUGCGAGUUGAGCGCUGAAGGUUGGUACUUGUACCAACUGGAUGAGCAGCGAACGGGUGAGUAACGCGUGGGGAAUCUGCCUUUGAGCGGGGGACAACAUUUGGAAACGAAUGCUAAUACCGCAUAAAAACUUUAAACACAAGUUUUAAGUUUGAAAGAUGCAAUUGCAUCACUCAAAGAUGAUCCCGCGUUGUAUUAGCUAGUUGGUGAGGUAAAGGCUCACCAAGGCGAUGAUACAUAGCCGACCUGAGAGGGUGAUCGGCCACAUUGGGACUGAGACACGGCCCAAACUCCUACGGGAGGCAGCAGUAGGGAAUCUUCGGCAAUGGACGAAAGUCUGACCGAGCAACGCCGCGUGAGUGAAGAAGGUUUUCGGAUCGUAAAACUCUGUUGGUAGAGAAGAACGUUGGUGAGAGUGGAAAGCUCAUCAAGUGACGGUAACUACCCAGAAAGGGACGGCUAACUACGUG
rnacentral:rRNA from 1 species